rnacentral:rRNA from 1 species
UACGUAGGGGGCGAGCGUUGUCCGGAAUCAUUGGGCGUAAAGCGCGUGUAGGCGGUCCGGUAAGUCCGCUGUGAAAGUCGGGGGCUCAACCCUCGGAUGCCGGUGGAUACUGUCGGGCUUGAGUACGGAAGAGGCGAGUGGAAUUCCUGGUGUAGCGGUGAAAUGCGCAGAUAUCAGGAGGAACACCGGUGGCGAAGGCGGGUCUCUGGGCAAUAACUGACGCUGAGGAGCGAAAGCGUGGGGAGCGAACAGGA